rnacentral:rRNA from 1 species
AACUUUUAACAACGGAUCUCUUGGCUCUCGCAUCGAUGAAGAACGCAGCGAAAUGCGAUAAGUAAUGUGAAUUGCAGAAUUUCAGUGAAUCAUCGAAUCUUUGAACGCACCUUGCGCCUUUUGGUAUUCCGAAAGGCAUGCCUGUUUGAGUGUCAU